rnacentral:rRNA from 1 species
GACGAACCGUGCGAACGUUGUUCGGAAUCACUGGGCUUAAAGGGCGCGUAGGCGGGUUGCCAAGUCUAUGGUGAAAUCCUCCGGCUUAACCGGAGAACUGCCGUGGAUACUGGUGACCUCGAGGGAGGUAGGGGGGUGCGGAACUGUGCGUGGAGCGGUGAAAUGCGUUGAUAUGCACAGGAACUCCGGUGGCGAAGGCGGCACCCUGGACCUCUUCUGACGCUGAGGCGCGAAAGCUAGGGGAGCGAACGGG